CCUCAUCAGGUUGUAACAACGGUUCCCGUUCUAUCACCGGAAUUAAGCAACGUUGAACUUGGUCAGUACCUAGAUGGGUGACCACUUGGGAAUACCAGGCGCUGUAAG